rnacentral:lncRNA from 1 species
UCCGACGUCUGAAAUCCUUUUUACGAAACCAGCCAAAACUCCAGUUCUAGUUACCAAUCGUGCACCGAGUUCGAUUUCGCGUCCAUUUUAUGCUAAAACGAUAACGACUCGUCCUGACACUCUACAGAGAAGUCAACUACCUGCUGAUACUGUAGUUAUUUCACCAGCUAAGAUUCCGGAAGACCACAUUAAGUUAAUUAUUUAUUUUAAUAAAUUUAGUUGUGAGAAUUGUAUAAAGUAUACUAGCUAAAUCUGGAAAACUAAACGACACAUUCAAAUUUUGAAGUCAAAGUACUGUUGAUUGACUCAAUUCUAAUAUAUCAAAAGGUUGGAUAGUAAAAAUAAAUUUUUAAAAGAUUAGAUAGCUGAUUAAAAAUUGUUCAUAGUUUAUGAAAGUUCUAUAUGUUUUACUUUUAUUUUAAUAUCAAACUUCACUGCAAUAUUUAUAGUAUGAGAAGUGAUCAACUUCAUAUUUAAAAUUUUUUUGAAUAUCCAAAAUAUGAUCGAUUUGCUUUUAGUUUUAAUAAUUAAGUAUUAUAAAAUUUAUUUGAUAGUUUAAUAUAUUUUUUUUGAUAAAAAUUAUUAUUAUUAUAAUUUUUUAAGAGAUAGAUAGCAUGUUAUCCGUUUAGUUUAUUUUAUUUAAAAAUAAUUAAAAAAAAUUG